GAAAGGCUUCGGCCGGACAGGGAUGGGCAUGCGGCGCAUUAAGCAGUAGGCGGGGUAACGGCCCACCUAACCGACGAUGCGUAGGGGUUCUGAGAGGAAGGUCCCCCACACUGGUACUGAGACACGGACCAGACUCCUACGGGAGGCAGCAGUGAGGAAUAUUGGUCAAUGGUCGGGAGACUGAACCAGCCAAGCCGCGUGAGGGAUGAAGGUACAGAGUAUCGUAAACCUCUUUUGUCAGGGAACAAAGGCGGGGACGUGUCCCCGGAUGAGUGUACCUGAAGAAAAAGCAUCGGCUAACUCCGUGCCAGCAGCCGCGGUAAUACGGAGGAUGCGAGCGUUAUCCGGAUUUAUUGGGUUUAAAGGGUGCGCAGGCGGUCUGUUAAGUCAGCGGUCAAAGCCCGGGGCUCAACCCCGGCCCGCCGUUGAAACUGGCAGUCUCGAGUUGGAGAGAAGUAUGCGGAAUGCGCGGUGUAGCGGUGAAAUGCAUAGAUAUCGCGCAGAACUCCGAUUGCGAAGGCAGCAUGCCGGCUCCACACUGACGCUGAGGCACGAAAGCGUGGGUAUCGAACAGGAUUAGAUACCCUGGUAGUCCACGCAGUAAACGAUGAAAGCGGGCUGUCCGGGGGGAUUGACCCCUGG
rnacentral:rRNA from 1 species